GUGCUGCUUCUCAGCAGCUGUCACUUGCCAUUGAUGAUCGUCUUCCUCCUUCGGUGGGUGAGAGGAAGGAACGCAGGCUGAGUGGC
rnacentral:snoRNA from 1 species